rnacentral:rRNA from 1 species
AGUGAACGCUGGCGGUAGGCCUAACACAUGCAAGUCGAACGGCAGCACAGUAAGAGCUUGCUCUUACGGGUGGCGAGUGGCGGACGGGUGAGGAAUACAUCGGAAUCUACUUUUUCGUGGGGGAUAACGUAGGGAAACUUACGCUAAUACCGCAUACGACCUACGGGUGAAAGCAGGGGAUCUUCGGACCUUGCGCGAUUGAAUGACCCGAUGUCGGAUUAGCUAGUUGGCGGGGUAAAGGCCCACCAAGGCGACGAUCCGUAGCUGGUCGGAGAGGAUGAUCGGCCACACUGGAACUGAGACACGGUCCAGAGUCCUGCGGGAGGCAGCAGUGUGGAAUAUUGGACAAUGGGCGCAAGCCUGAUCCAGCCAUACCGCGUGGGUGAAGAAGGCGUUCGGGUUGUAAAGCCCUUUUGUUGGGAAAGAAAAGCAGCAGGUUAAUACCCCGCUGUUCUGACGGUACCCAAAGAAUAAGCACCGGCUAACUUCGUG